rnacentral:misc_RNA from 1 species
UGAGUUUCCUUCAUAAAAAUAGCAGCAACCCGGCAGAUAGUCGCCAAGUCUCAUUCAUUUAUCAUUUCACUAUGCAGAUUUUAAUGACAGAAGCAACACCAAUGCGAUGCAGCGCAACAAUAGAGUCACCUGGUUUGCACAGCCUCCUCGCCGUCGCUGACUUGAGUGCAGCCUCCAAGAUCACCUCUGUCGACUCCGCAUCAGUCGCCUUCGCAGAACCCUCCGCCAGCAGCGGGAUGAGGCCUCUGUAGAUGAGGCUAUGCCUCGCUGGUGACUCGUCG